CAGCAGCCACGGUAAUACAGAGGGUGCGAGCGUUAAUCGGAUUUACUGGGCGUAAAGCGUGCUUAGGCGGCUUCUUAAGUCGGAUGUGAAAUCCCUGAGCUUAACUUAGGAAUUGCAUUCGAUACUGGGAAGCUAGAGUAUGGGAGAGGAUGGUAGAAUUCCAGGUGUAGCGGUGAAAUGCGUAGAGAUCUGGAGGAAUACCGAUGGCGAAGGCAGCCAUCUGGCCUAAUACUGACGCUGAGGUACGAAAGCAUGGGGAGCAAACAGGAUUAGAUACCCCCGUAGUCCCUGUCUCUUAUAC
rnacentral:rRNA from 1 species